rnacentral:rRNA from 1 species
AUUGAACGCUGGCGGCAUGCCUUACACAUGCAAGUCGAACGGUAACAGGUCUUCGGAUGCUGACGAGUGGCGAACGGGUGAGUAAUACAUCGGAACGUGCCCAGACGUGGGGGAUAACGAGGCGAAAGCUUUGCUAAUACCGCAUACGAUCUAAGGAUGAAAGCAGGGGGCCGCAAGGCCUUGCGCGUUUGGAGCGGCCGAUGGCAGAUUAGGUAGUUGGUGGGAUAAAAGCUUACCGAGCCGACGAUCUGUAGCUGGUCUGAGAGGACGACCAGCCACACUGGGACUGAGACACGGCCCAGACUCCUACGGGAGGCAGCAGUGGGGAAUUCCGGACAAUGGGCGAAAGCCUGAUCCAGCAAUGCCGCGUGCAGGAUGAAGGCCUUCGGGUUGUAAACUGCUUUUGUACGGAACGAAAAGGCUCUGGCUAAUACCUGGGGCACAUGACGGUACCGUAAGAAUAAGCACCGGCUAACUACGUGCCAGCAGCCGCAGUAAUAC